CUAAGAAUAUUCCGCAAUGGACGAAAGUCUGACGGAGCGACGCCGCGUGGAUGACGAAGGCCGAAAGGUUGUAAAAUCCUUUUGCCGGGGAAGAAUAAGCAUGGGAGGAAAUGCCCGUGUGAUGACAUGAACCGGCGAAUAAGCCCCGGCUAACUACGUGCCAGCAGCCGCGGUAACACGUAGGGGGCAAGCGUUGUUCGGAAUUAUUGGGCGUAAAGGGCAUGUAGGCGGUUUUGUAAGCCUGACGUGAAAUCCUGCAGCUUAACUGCGGAACUGCGUUGGGAACUGCAAGACUUGAAUCACUGAGGGGGAGAUAGAAUUCCAGGUGUAGGGGUGAAAUCUGUAGAUAUCUGGAAGAAUACCGGUGGCGAAGGCGAUCUCCUGGCAGAUGAUUGACGCUGAGGUGCGAAAGCGUGGGGAGCAAACAGG
rnacentral:rRNA from 1 species